rnacentral:lncRNA from 1 species
UUACUCAGAAACCUCACCCAUAACACAUGGCUGUAAAAACCUGCUCGCCUUUCAACUUUUAAGGAGCAGAGCAGGUUUCCGGAGGAACCAGACUCAAGGGGAGCCCCAGGGAAGAGCCAAAGCAGCUGGGAAUUUGAUACCCCGGUGCUCCAAAGCUAAAAGAAGAAUUAGAAGAAAGCUGCAUGAAUAAAGAUGGGAUCCUUCAUGAUACAGAAAAGACCUCAGCAGAAAUGCUGGCCCAAUGGGAGGAUGCUAUGUGGGAAAAGAAGCUUCUUGAGCAAAUGGUUAAAGAAUUGCAGCAAAAGUUGGAGGACCGAGAAAAAACCUUCGAGAGAUUUAGAGACAAACUCACAAAGGAAAUGAGAGAAAGAGACGACCUUCUGAGAAAGAUGAAUGAGAGGAUUCAGAUGCUGGAACGCUUACUGAAGUUACUAGAAACACUAGAGGAACAGGACAUGAAGAAAGAAGAGCAGGCCAAAAGAGAGGCAGCUGAAAGGGAAAACGAGCCUCUUGAACAAAAGGUUAAAGAACUGCAGCAAAAAUCGGAGAACCAAGAAAAAGUCUUCGAAGUAUUAAGAGACAAAAUGACAGAGGAGUUGAAUGAAAGAGAGAAAGCCUCAGCAGAAGAGCAGAUCAGAGGAGAGGCCACUGAGAGGGAAAAGGAGUCUCUUGAAAAACAGGUUAAAGAAUUGCAGCAAAAUUUGGAGGACCAAGGAAGAGUCUUCCAGAGAUUAAGAACUGAAAUGACAGAGGAGAUGAGAGAAAAUGAAAAGGCCUCAGCAGAAGAGCAGGCCAAAAGAGAGGCUGCUGAGAGGGAAAAGCUUUUAGAGCAAAAGCUUAAAGAAUUGCAACAAAAGUUUGAGGACCAAGAAAGAGCCUUCAAGGUAUUUAGAGUCCAAAUGACAGAAGAGGUGAGAGAAAGAGACAAUUUUCUGAGAAAGAUGAAUGAGAGGAUUGAGAUGCUGGAGGCUGCAGUGAACAAUGAUAAUGACAAGGAUAAUGAGGAAAACACUGAAAAGUACUGAACUUCAUAGACACAGGAAGAUAAUGACAAAGAAAAUACUUCACAGCCUUUUGUUUUAAUCUCUGUUUGGGAGAAUAUAAAACAUGUGUGGUCACUAAUUACUCAGAUUUUUUGUUUGUUUCUUUUAAAUUCUGGUAAUAUUAAAAGUUUUCACAAGUGCUUUUUUGAUCUGGAUUAUUUCUAUCUAUGUAUGUACUUUUUCUUUUAUCAUUAAAGUUUUAAUGUAAAAAGUAGAAACAUCAUCUACUAUAGAACAUCAAUUCCUGGCCCACAAAGGAAAGAAUUAGUGUGGCUGGAUAAUUAAUUUAAGUGGAAAUGGAAGCAACUGAGUAGAAGACAAAGAGGUCAAGUUUGUAAUAUCUUGAAAAAAAGAAAAAUUUUAUUAAGUAAUGCUUCUGAAAGUCACAUAUGAAUAAUUAUACAAAUGAAUAUGUAUACUGG